AGGUUCCUACGGGGGGCAGCAGUGGGGAAUAUUGCACAAUGGGGGAAACCCUGAUGCAGCGACGCCGCGUGGGUGAAGAAGUAUUUCGGUAUGUAAAGCCCUAUCAGCAGGGAAGAAGAAUGACGGUACCUGACUAAGAAGCACCGGCUAAAUACGUGCCAGCAGCCGCGGUAAUACGUAUGGUGCAAGCGUUAUCCGGAUUUACUGGGUGUAAAGGGAGCGCAGACGGCAGUGCAAGUCUGGAGUGAAAGCCCGGUGCCCAACCCCGGAACUGCUCUGGAAACUGUGCGGCUAGAGUACUGGAG
rnacentral:rRNA from 1 species